AUUGAACGCUGGCGGCAGGCCUAACACAUGCAAGUCGAACGGUAACAGGAAGCAGCUUGCUGCUUCGCUGACGAGUGGCGGACGGGUGAGUAAUGUCUGGGAAGCUGCCUGAUGGAGGGGGAUAACUACUGGAAACGGUAGCUAAUACCGCAUAAUGUCGCAAGACCAAAGAGGGGGACCUUCGGGCCUCUUGCCAUCGGAUGUGCCCAGAUGGGAUUAGCUUGUUGGUGGGGUAACGGCUCACCAAGGCGACGAUCCCUAGCUGGUCUGAGAGGAUGACCAGCCACACUGGAACUGAGACACGGUCCAGACUCCUACGGGAGGCAGCAGUGGGGAAUAUUGCACAAUGGGCGCAAGCCUGGAUGCAGCCAUGCCGCGUGUAUGAAGAAGGCCUUCGGGUUGUAAAGUACUUUCAGCGGGGAGGAAGGGAGUAAAGUUAAUACCUUUGCUCAUUGACGUUACCCGCAGAAGAAGCACCGGCUAACUCCGUGCCAGCAGCCGCGGUAAUACGGAGGGUGCAAGCGUUAAUCGGAAUUACUGGGCGUAAAGCGCACGCAGGCGGUUUGUUAAGUCAGAUGUGAAAUCCCCGGGCUCAACCUGGGAACUGCAUCUGAUACUGGCAAGCUUGAGUCUCGUAGAGGGGGGUAGAAUUCCAGGUGUAGCGGUGAAAUGCGUAGAGAUCUGGAGGAAUACCGGUGGCGAAGGCGGCCCCCUGGACGAAGACUGACGCUCAGGUGCGAAAGCGUGGGAGCAAAC
rnacentral:rRNA from 1 species